GAUGAACGCUGGCGGCGUGCUUAACACAUGCAAGUCGAACGGAAAGGCCCAAGCUUGCUUGGGUACUCGAGUGGCGAACGGGUGAGUAACACGUGGGUGAUCUGCCCUGCACUUCGGGAUAAGCCUGGGAAACUGGGUCUAAUACCGGAUAGGACCACAUUUUGGAUGGUGUGGUGGAAAGUUUUUCGGUGUGGGAUGAGCUCGCGGCCUAUCAGCUUGUUGGUGGGGUAAUGGCCUACCAAGGCGUCGACGGGUAGCCGGCCUGAGAGGGUGUACGGCCACAUUGGGACUGAGUUACGGCCCAGCCUCCUACGGGAGGCAGCAGGGGGGAAUAUUGCACAAUGGGCGCAAGCCUGAUGCAGCGACGCCGCGUGGGGGAUGACGGCCUUCGGGUUGUAAACUCCUUUCGCUAGGGACGAAGCGCAAGUGACGGUACCUGGAGAAGAAGCACCGGCUAACUACGUG
rnacentral:rRNA from 1 species